rnacentral:rRNA from 1 species
UACGUAGGGGGCAAGCGUUGUCCGGAUUUAUUGGGCGUAAAGAGCGUGUAGGCGGCCAUGUAGGUCCGUUGUGAAACUCGAGGCUCAACCUCGAGACGCCGAUGGAAACCAUGUGGCUAGAGUCCGGAAGAGGAGAGUGGAAUUCCUGGUGUAGCGGUGAAAUGCGCAGAUAUCGGGAAGAACACCCGUGGCGAAGGCGGCUCUCUGGGACGGUACUGACGCUGAGACGCGAAAGCGUGGGGAGCGAACAGG